UUUCUUAUUCACUUUUCAAUUAUUGGUUAACUAGUGAAUAGUUUUUGCGAGAAAUCUGUACAUCUUACAUGUCUGUUAAGAAUAUAUCUCAUGGCAAGUGUAUGUGUAAAUACAUAAAUAAAUGAACAUCUCAUUUUCUUGUCACAGAACCACCAGAAGUACCAGCAAUAGACCAAGAGAGAAAACACCUGGAAGACAAGGAAAACAAGGAAAAGUACAAAUCGUACAUUAAAGUUUCAAGAUGGACUGUACAACCCACAUGUAGCAAAAUUCAUGUCCAUGAGAGUCUGUUCAACAAACCAAACAAAUUACCAGCUAACCAUGCUAACAGGGCAAAGAAACCACUUUCAUGCAAGAGGAAACUAUUCGCGUCUGAAGUUUCCAAACAAGAAA